rnacentral:lncRNA from 1 species
GAUCAUUGUAGUCCCACCAGCCAGGGCUGCUUUCGUCCCUUGGAAGAAAUCAUCCACUGCUGUCAUCCCCUUGUAUGGCAUCUGCAGGUGAGUGUGGACGUCAAUUCCUCCAGGGAUCACCAUCUUCCCAUUGGCUUCUAUGGUUUUGACCCCUCCAGGGACAAUGAGGUUGUCUCCAAUCUGCUUUAUGAGACCAUCUUCCAUGUAAAUGUCAGCAUAGAAUGACUGAUCAUCGUUGACUAUCCUCCCCCCUUUAAUCAGGAGACGGUCACUCGUGAUACGCGGGAUGUUCUUCUUGCCCUGGUAGGACAUGGCGCCGCGCUGCCCGCCGCCGUGCGCUGCCCUCCGCUCGGCUCCGCACAAAGGCAGCGCCGCGCCGCGCCCACCGUGCCCGCCGCCACCGGGGACGGGAGCCCGG